rnacentral:rRNA from 1 species
GUAGUGCACGCCGUGAACGAUGAGCACUCGCUGGUGGCAAGAUAGAGUCAGCGGCGGAGCGAAAGCAGUAAGUGAUCGACGUGGGGAGUACGGUGGGCAACGAUGAAACUCAAAGGAAGUGACGGGGGCCCGCACAAGCGGUGGAACAUGUGGUUGAAUUCGAUGAUACGCGAGGAACCGUACCUGGGCUUAAAUGUAGCCGGACGAUUCCGGAAACGGGAUUUCCUGAACGGCUGGUUACAAGGUGCUGCAUGGCUGUCGUCAGCUCGUGCCGUGAGGUGUCGGGUUAAGUCCCAUAACGAGCGCAACCCUUAUUCUUAGUUGCCAGCGGGUAGAGCCGGGGACUCUAAGGAGACUGCCACCGUAAGGUGUGAGGAAGGUGGGGAUGACGUCAAGUCAGCACGGCCCUUACGUCCAGGGCUACACACGUGUUACAAUGGCCGGUACAGAAGGCAGCAAACUUGAGAGAGGGCGCGAAUCCAUGAAAGCCGGUCUCAGUUCGGAUUGGAGUCUGCAACCCGACUUCAUGAAGUUGGAAUCGCUAGUAAUCGCGCAUCAGCAAUGGCGCGGUGAUACGUUCCCGGGCCUUGUACACACCGCCCGUCAAGCCAUGGAAGCCGGGGGUACCUGAAGUCCGUAACCGCAAGGAGCGGCCGCAGGGUAAAACUGGUGACUGGGGCUAAGUC